rnacentral:rRNA from 1 species
GACGAACGCUGGCGGCGUGCUUAACACAUGCAAGUCGAGCGGUAAGGCCCUUCGGGGUACACGAGCGGCGAACGGGUGAGUAACACGUGAGUAAUCUGCCCAUCACUUCGGGAUAACUCCGGGAAACCGGUGCUAAUACCGAAUAUGACCACUUCAGGCAUCUGAUGGUGGUGGAAAGUUCCGGCGGUGAUGGAUGAGCUCGCGGCCUAUCAGCUUGUUGGUGGGGUAGUGGCCUACCAAGGCUUCGACGGGUAGCCGGCCUGAGAGGGUGACCGGCCACACUGGGACUGAGACACGGCCCAGACUCCUACGGGAGGCAGCAGUGGGGAAUAUUGGACAAUGGGCGAAAGCCUGAUCCAGCAACGCCGCGUGAGGGAUGACGGCCUUCGGGUUGUAAACCUCUUUCAGCAGGGACGAAGCGCAAGUGACGGUACCUGCAGAAGAAGCACCGGCCAACUACGUG